rnacentral:rRNA from 1 species
GAGUUUGAUCCUGGGCUCAGGACGAACGCUGGCGGCGUGCCUAAUACAUGCAAGUCGAACGAACGGAUAAAGAGCUUGCUCUUUUGAAGUUAGUGGCGGACGGGUGAGUAACACGUGGGUAACCUGCCUCACAGCUGGGGAUAACAUCGAGAAAUCGAUGCUAAUACCGAAUGUGCUGAACAUCAUAAGAUGUUCAAGUGAAAGACGGUUUCGGCUGUCACUGCGAGAUGGACCCGCGCUGGAUUAGCUAGUUGGUAAGGUAAUGGCUUACCAAGGCGACGAUCCAUAGCCGACCUGAGAGGGUGAUCGGCCACAUUGGGACUGAGACACGGCCCAAACUCCUACGGGAGGCAGCAGUAGGGAAUCUUCGGCAAUGGACGAAAGUCUGACCGAGCAACGCCGCGUGAGUGAAGAAGGUUUUCGGAUCGUAAAACUCUGUUGUUAGAGAAGAACGUUGUGUAGAGUGGAAAUUACACAAGUGACGGUAUCUAACCAGAAAGGGACGG